rnacentral:tRNA from 1 species
UCCCUGGUGGCUUAGUGGUAAAGAAUCUGCCUGCCAAUGCAGGAGACUCAGGUUCAAUUCCUGGGUAGGGAA